ACGACCGGCCAAGAAAAAUAAAAAAUUUAAAAACAACAUUUAAAAAGGAUAGGGGAGUCUCAAAUGUUUAGGUAUCCCCUACUUAAAAUAAAAUCACUAGUAUUUUUAAAUAUUUCCGUUGCACUUCAAUCUUCUAACUCUUAAAAGAAAAUGUUAUCUGUGCUUUGAAAAUAACUUAACUUUAUUUUAUUUUAUGCUCUAGUUCCUUCCCCCUAAUAUCAGAAAGUCUCUGCUCUCUUUUUGUAUUAAAGGAAAAAAAAAAAAAAAAGCCUGGUAAAAAGUCAGCAGAACCCAGGAAGCGUAGAAUCAGGAGAAUGUCUUUGGCUGGGGCUGGUUCAAGUCCCUGGUUCAAUGGGCUGCUGGAAGCCAGGACUGGGUAAUUCUUUCCAGACGUCUUGACUUCUCCUUCCUCGCGGUUGUUGCCUUUCUGCCUCCUCCAACUUAAGGGGGUCUUAACAAGUGAGCUGGAGACCUGGGUUCAGUCCCUGAGUUGGGAAGAUCCCCUGGAGAAGGGCAUGGCAACCCACUCGUGUUCGUGCCUGGAGAAUCUCCGUGGACAGAGGAGCCUGGCAGGCUGCAAUCCAUGAAGUUGAAAAGAACUGGACACGACUAAGCGAC
ensembl:lncRNA